AGAAGCCGGACUUAUGGUUGGCUUAUAAAUGAGAUUUGAUUUCAUUUUCAUUUUUUUGUGCUGGUUUUGUUUUAUAUAUUACAGACACAAUAAGUUUGAGCACAUGUCUAUGUAAGUUUCAUGGAGAUAUAGUUGGCAUAUAACAUUGUGUAAGCAUGGGAAUGCACCACUGAAAUAAUCCGCGGAGGGACUGCAGUUGCUGCUCUUUUGGAUUCACCAUAUUUGUGUCAGGACUAUGAUUCUUGAAGAAUGUUCCCAGCCAAUGACUGAACAUGGCAAGAGUACAAAUGGAGGAUAAUUCUGGC